rnacentral:piRNA from 1 species
UGGAAGUUGAAGUUAAGAUUGGGCAGCCUCU